ensembl:lncRNA
CCAUGUAACACUGUCCACUGUCUGUCCAUGUAACACUGUCCACUGUCUGUCCACUGUCUGUCCAUGUAACACUGUCCACUGUCUGUCCAUGUAACACUGUCCACUGUCUGUCCAUGUAACACUGUCCACUGUCUGUCCAUGUAACACUGUCCACUGUCUGUCCAUAUAACACUGUUCUCUAUGUGUGUGUGGUGGGGUUUGUGUGUGGUGGGGUUUGUGUGUGGUAGGGAGUGUGUGUGGUAGGGAGUGUGUGUGGUGGGGGGGGUGUGUGUGGUGGGGAGUGUGUGUGGUGGGGUUUGUGUGUGGUAGGGAGUGUGUGUGGUGGGGAGUGUGUGUGGUGGGGAGUGUGUGUGGUGGGGGUUGUGUGUGGUAGGGAGUGUGUGUGGUGGGGAGUGUGUGUGGUAGGGAGUGUGUGUGGUGGGGGUUGUGUGUGGUAGGGAGUGUGUGUGGUAGGGAGUGUGUGUGGUGGGGGGGGUGUGUGUGGUGGGGAGUGUGUGUGGUGGGGUUUGUGUGUGGUAGGGAGUGUGUGUGGUAGGGAGUGUGUGUGGUGGGGAGUGUGUGUGGUGGGGAGUGUGUGUGGUGGGGUUUGUG